rfam:Ixodes scapularis strain Wikel colony gcontig_1107728684144, whole genome shotgun sequence.
UCCUGGUUAGCUCAGUUAAUAGAGCGCUCCACUGGAAAUGGAGAAGUGCCUGGUUCGAUACCAGGACCCGGCG